GUUCUCUCGAGUCCGGGCCGCAAGUCCCAGACGCUGCCCAUGGAGGCGUCCAGCGAGCCGCCGCUGGAUGCUAAGUCCGAUGUCACCAACCAGUAUUAAAAUGAAGAUACUUUAUGUAAAUAUGACCAGCGUUGAAACUAAAAGUUGAGUGUAACUGCAGUAAAAUUGAAUAAAUAUCUGCAUUCCAGGUAAUGUUACUACUAAUGUAUUAUUUUGUCCUGUCUUAUUAAAGCUUGUAGAUUUUCAGUGGAAACUGGGUAUGGCUGUGAGCUCAGACACUUGCAGAUCUCUUAAGUAUCCUUACGUUGCAGUGAUGCUAAAAGUGGCAGAUCAUUCAGGCCAAGUAAAGACCAAGUGCUUUGAAAUGACGAUUCCACAGUUUCAGGUUUGUGAUUUAACUCAUCCAGUUUUAGCUCAGCUUUUCUGUAAUCAUUGCAUAAAAAGAUGUAUAAAAUCUUUCUACGGGAAAACUUUAAUGGUUUUUAUUUGUAGAUUGAUAUGCUUUACGUUUACUAGUAGUAUAUGCAAGAGACAUUAAUUUGUCUUCUUUGGGAAUUUGAUAAAUUAUUUUCAAUAUAAUGUGCUGAAGUUGUGUACUGCGCCAUUUGAUCGCUUGAACAGUACUCCUCUCUGAGUAUAUUUAGGAAAGUUUUAUCUUCAAUGGCAGGAUAUUUACUUUGCAUUUAAAUGUUUUAUUCUUAUUCCUUUGGGCUUAAUAUUCAAGAAUGUUAAGCUAAAUGAAUCUUUGAAUAGUGUUGACCCUGAAUUUUCUGACUGAUAAUGUUUACAA
rnacentral:lncRNA from 1 species